CAACGCCGCGUGAGGGACGACGGCCUUCGGGUUGUAAACCUCUUUUAGCAGGAAAGAAGCGAAAGUGACGGUACCUGCAGAAAAAGCGCCGGCUAACUACGUGCCAGCAGCCGCGGUAAUACGUAGGGCGCAAGCGUUAUCCGGAAUUAUUGGGCGUAAAGAGCUCGUAGGCGGUCUGUCGCGUCUGCUGUGAAAACCCGAGGCUCAACCUCGGGCCUGCAGUGGGUACGGGCAGACUAGAGUGCGGUAGGGGAGAUUGGAAUUCCUGGUGUAGCGGUGGAAUGCGCAGAUAUCAGGAGGAACACCGAUGGCGAAGGCAGAUCUCUGGGCCGUAACUGACGCUGAGGAGCGAAAGGGUGGGGAGCAAACAGGCUUAGAUACCCUGGUAGUCCACCCCGUAAACGUUGGGAACUAGUUGUGGGGUCCAUUCCACGGAUUCCGUGACGCAGCUAACGCAUUAAGUUCCCCGCCUGGGGAGUACGGCCGCAAGGCUAAAACUCAAAGGAAUUGACGGGGACCCGCACAAGCGGCGGAGCAUGCGGAUUAAUUCGAUGCAACGCGAAGAACCUUACCAAGGCUUGACAUAUACGAGAACGGGCCAGAAAUGGUCAACUCUUUGGACACUCGUAAACAGGUGGUGCAUGGUUGUCGUCAGCUCGUGUCGUGAGAUGUUGGGUUAAGUCCCGCAAC
rnacentral:rRNA from 1 species